rnacentral:rRNA from 1 species
AUACAGAGGGUGCGAGCGUUAAUCGGAAUUACUGGGCGUAAAGCGCGCGUAGGCGGCUGAUUAAGUCAGAUGUGAAAUCCCCGGGCUCAACCUGGGAACUGCAUCUGAUACUGGUAAGCUAGAGUUUGGGAGAGGGAAGUAGAAUUUCAGGUGUAGCGGUGAAAUGCAUAGAGAUCUGAAGGAAUACCAGUGGCGAAGGCGACUUCCUGGCCUAAAACUGACGCUGAGGUGCGAAAGCGUGGGUAGCAAACGGGAUUAGAAACCCGGGUAGUCC